AAAACAGUACGUACGAUCAGUUUUUGAAGAAAAAGGGAGAAAAAGCCAAGAGAAGAGGGAGAAGACCUAGGGCUGCUAUUUUCAUCAAACAACGUAAGGGUGAGACUAACUUUACAAUUCUAUUAAGUCUAUGAAUCAAUGGUUGUAUUUAGUGUAGCACCCCGUUUUCCCAACAUAAAAAUUCCAUUUAUUAAUCAAAGUUAUUCACGUAAACGGAAUGCUACACUUCUUUUCNNNNNNNNNNNNNNNNNNNNNNNNNNNNNNNNNNNNNNNNNNNNNNNNNNNNNNNNNNNNNNNNNNNNNNNNNNNNNNNNNNNNNNNNNNNNNNNNNNNNUCAUACACAGGGAAUUCAAAAUUUGGGAGGAACCGUAGGAUUACUGUGUUCAACGGGUUUAUUAUGGUUCAAACUGCAUAGAAUGGUUGGAUGAUUUUAAAAAGAGGGUUUUUUUCUUUUAUGCAGAUCUUUGAAAUUGAUAAGGAAAAUAAAGAUGUUUUGGUUUUUUCUGGCAUUACCAUUAUUUCCAAGAAAAAAGAAAAAAAAAAAUCACUAAAAAAAUAAAAGUCGUGAAAGAAACGACGAUUUUUAUUGAUAACGGCGAUGCCGAAACAAACACGCCUUUCCAGAAAUAUCACUUUCGCUUCGGGCAGAGCGAGAGGAUGGUUAUUUUGAAAAAGAAAACACUUAAGCAACAAGACACAUUAUUCGGAAACAUGCAUGAUUGAAUGAAUGUUGAUGGCAUCCCAAUUUCUCGCAAUGCCUCCUGGUAUAACAAACAUAGGCCUAGGACCAAAUCCAGUCGCCUCUUCAGUAGUUGCAUUGACAAACCCAGCACUGUAGAAAGUUCCUGUGGAGACUCCUGAAGUUGGGGAAUAUACGAGACCCUCUUUGUGCUUAUUCUCAAGGAAGGGAGUUCCCUGAUAGCUCAAUUGAUCAAGAGUAGCCGUUGUCUGAGGCAAGGUGGUAUUGACAGAGACAGGGUUCGUCCCAGGAAUCUGGCCAUUAUUGACAGUACCAGAAACGCCAGCUGCAAUAUUAGGAGUGAAAAACGGUGGAAGUCCAUAAGGAAACCCAGUUGGCAUAGCAAAUUGAGCAUCAGUGGAUGCAGUUGGAAUCACACUUGUAGCUAUAGGGAUAGCUGUGGCUGAUUGUUCCUGGGCGGCUAGCAGAGCAGUCAUGACAUCAUUAGCUUUAGCCAAUUCUUCCCUUAGAGUGGCUAACUCGGUACGGAGCUGAGCGUUCUCUUCUUCCAUGGCUGCCGAAUUCUUCUUUCUGUAGAGUCUUGUCCGGUGUAUUCUGUCUGGUUCGUAAACUUUCCGAGCACGAGCCACCUUUCAAUCUCUGUGGCAGAAGAACCAGGAGGCAAUGAGCACUUGGAAACCUUUUGUGACCGAUGAAUGAUGCAUAUGAUGCAUGAUAUGUACAAAUGCAGAUGCAAAAAUGGCUCGUUUUUGUCAUCGAAGGGUUUUAGACAAAUUAGAAAUUUUGUAAACAUUAUUUAACAAGGUCUCAAUAGCGUUCAUAUCCACAAAGUUGUCGAGAUUCGGAAAGAGAAUGAGCCCGUAGAUAAGCAGUGCAAGAAUAGCCUCGAGCGUGUCCUGACAAGUAGUUUUGAGAUUGGCUUGCUCAAGUAGGUACUUUGAAGUGAACCCCCGGAUGUGAGACUUGGUGACAAGAUUCUUAGAGACAUCGGAAGUCUUGAGAUAGAGGUCCUUAGCAAUGAUCAGAGGAGUAAGAGAAGUCCCGGGACCAAUGAAAGGUGUCUUCUCAGCCAUAGGCAAAUCUAGCAAGUGGGAGUAAGCUUCAAGAGUAGGGACCAACUGGAAGUCCGGGAAAGUGAAGCAACGGAAGCUCGGGUCAUAGAAUUGCACUAGAGUGUGCACGAGUUUCUCUUCAACAUUAGUCCGGAGAAUAGUAAGCAAACCACCAUACCGGAGUCGGAAACCUGUUUGAUUCUUCACCUUGAGUGCCAACUCUCUCAAACUAACGAAAUCAACCUCCUUGAACUUGUAGGAUUUAGUCUUCUUCAUACCUGUAAUGUUUACAAAGUUUUUAAUUUGUCCAAUCCUUUGAUGAAUGCAUGAGAAGAAUUUAUGCAUGAAUGCAUGUAUGCAUGAUUGUUUUUCAAUUACAGAGAAAACAUGGAGGGUUGAGAUUAAAGUCGAGGAGCCACGGGCGGACACGGUGCCCGGUAAACUAAGGCUUAGGAUAAUAGUAACCAAGGUUCUAAUCAAGUUCCCAAACUGCAACCUCUCUUACGUAUAUCAUGGUAGCACGGGACAACGUCCGUUCCAUGUUUAUUCGCAAGAAGGUCUAGUUUGAGUGUAGUAUCGCGUGACGACUAAAACUCGAGGCAACACUCGGUUUAGCCACCGCACUACGUCCUAAAAAGGCCAGGGAUGGGUUUGGUAACUACGGUCCAUAGCAUCGUCGAACAAUUGAAAGAAAAGUGCCUAAGCAUGACAACACACGCCGACAAUAUUACUUCCAAAAUGCCUCAGCUAUGUGAGAUUGAUCGCAUAACCCAAUACACGAGGCAACCCUCGGAUCGAAUUGUCGAUUAUAUCUCUACCUAUUCAUAAGUUCACUCAGCCCGGGUAUAGGACUUUUGAUAUUCUCACCCCACACGUCAAAUGAAAAUAAACAAGUAUUCACAUAUGUAAGCAAUAAAACAAAGCGUAAAUAUAAACUAAGGAAAACUAGGCGCGACCCGCUAAAAAAAGUCCCCAGUGAAGUCGCCAUUUCUGUUAUCGCGAUUUUCGGGUGUCAAGUCAUUAAUUAGGCUUGAACCUUUCAAUCUUUGAUAUCCUCUGUUUUUUCUUGGGAAGGGCAAAAUGGAGAAAACCCUUAGAGUUUCUAAGUUCGGGGGUCGUUUUCGCUACGGGAAGGUGUUAGGCACCCGGAACGAUUAUGGUAUUCCAUAAGAACCGUUCUCCUAAGUUUAUUUCUACGCUUUAUUUUUAUUGCCUACUUAUUGAAAAAGAAGUUUUAUUUGAGUGAAGAAUGGGGGGAGAAAGUGUUUGAGGUUUUAUUUUAGUGGACUUGGAGAGGUUUUGACCUCAUGCCUACAUACCCAUUUAAGGGAUCAAACUCCAUGUAGUUCAUUCUCAAAAAAUGUUUUUAUGUGUUUGGUUGAUUUUAAUUUUUGUUGGAAAAUGGUUUUGGAGAAGAGAAAGAGGCCUUAAAGGCAUAAGAGAAGAACAUGGUGAAUGGUUGGUUCAAUUGUUAUUAAAAAAAAGUCUAAGUAGGAAUUAGGAUUCAUUUGGAUUUGUUUAAGAAAAUAAAGGGAAAAAGUUUCAAUGGAGUUUUGACUCCAAGGUUUGUUUGGAAAAAUAAAAAUUUGAGUGAUGGAAUUGGUUUAUUAUUCUUUUUUGAAAAUUGGCAUUUGUCUAAAAAUCGCGUUUCCUAAGCAUACAUCUAAACGGUAAUCAUGCAACGUGUGUGCGUGUCGGUGCUUGUGUCGGUGUACAUCACUUAUAGUGUCCAUAGUCCUUUACAUUGAGUCCUAGAUACAUGCUAUGGUCUUGCAAAGAAUUCAAAAAGGAACUAAUCUAUCUAAAAUUAUUACAAACCCAAUUGAUAUAGAAAUGAAUAGAAAAAUGAUGCCAAAACUAUGGGAUGAAUGAAAUGUGAGAUGAAAUGGUUAGUAUCAUAAAGCAUAAAAAAUAGUAGAAAGGUAAACAAAAUUGAAUAGAAUAGCAAGCGAAGAAAAAAAGGUAAUGAAAUGAAAUAAAGUGGCAAAAUAUACCUAAAAUUGGCUAUGAAACUUAGACAUGCCUAUGACCUAUAAUCCCCUCAUUAUAGCAAUGUUAAAGGGGUUUGAUUUUGAGCUAUAAUGUGGGAACAAAUAGGACAUAUUCAAGCCAAGAAUCAUGACACAUUUUCAAAGAUAUUUUGCACUUUAUUUCUUGAUAAAAACACACAUUGCUUGCAAAACAAGAAAGACAUGAAGAUCUACAUCCACAAUCAGCAAGAUAUGAUCAGCAACAUAUUCAUCAUGAAAUUACACACCAAUCAUCCACAUCACAUGCCAACAUUUUAUGAGAAAAAUAUACCACAAAAAUACACAAACUUAGAUCAAACACAAAAUUAAUCAAGAAGAAAUAACACACACAUUUUUAUCAUUUUUUAAACCACUGGAAAAUAUCACCAAAGUGUUAAAAUGUAUUAAGAAAUAUAUAACAAUCUUUUUGGAAUUUUUAGAGAAAAAAUUAAGCACACAGAGGUUCAAUCAGCAAGAAAACAGGGUGUGAAUAGCAAGAAAAAAACAAAAACGUAGGAAACUGCAGAGAAAAAGGCCCAAGCCCAAAACCUAAAAGCCUGGAAGCACAGGGAGCGUUGGAUUGAUCCAGGGAGGGAAACCCUAGAUCCAACGCUCAGGAUUAGAGGGAUUGGACCGGUCUUGAACCGGUCCGGUUCAGUUGUCUAUAAAAACACGUUAGCGCCGGUUCAAACAUUUCUCUAAGCUCUUUCUCUCUCUUCUCUCAACCUAGUGAGAGAAGCUCUCACCUCUCUCUAGAAUUUUCUGGAAAAUCAGAAGAUGAUCUUCAUCUUCUCCGGCGAGCUUCACCGCUCCGGUGUGGUGGUUUGCCGGCCCAACAGGGCGGCGCCGCCGCACCGGAGAUGAGAAACCUCUCCGUUUUCAAAAACUUUUACAGAUUAAGAUAUCCUUUUUCAUUUUAAACACGAAUCUGAACCUAUUUUUUACAGACAAAGCUUGAAACAACGUAGAUCUAAGAUUUUUCAUACGAUUUUGAAAAGUUAUUCUUUAGGUUUUCUGAACGUUUGAAUCCUAGGGAUUUACAUUGUUUCGUCUUUGUUGAUACUUUGAAAGGAAAAUGAUGAAGUUUGAGUGUUUUUACCUCUGGUUUGAUUGGAGAUUCAAGCGAAAAUCUUCGGAAAACCUUGGUUUGAUUCUGUUUCGUUGCUGUUGUUCUUGAAUCCGAAAAUAAAUCGGUGAUGCUCUUCUUCUUCUUUACCGGUUCGAAUCUGCUUCUUUCUCUGUGAUUAUGUGCUUGAGCUUGCUUCUUGCUUCUUAGAUCUACGCGAGAGAUUCCCUGUGAUCGGUGCUUGAGCUUGCUUCGAUGUGAGCUCGCACUUAGAAUUGUAGGGAAAUCUUCAAUUCAGUGAUGAAGAUUCAUACGAAUCUCUGAGAAUUGAUACGAAAUUCGUUGAUUUCUGAUGAACUUCUAUGAUUUCUGAAGAAAAUUAGGGUUUGGUGUUCUUCAUGUUCUUGAGAAUUUUUGAUUUUUGAUCUUAACAGAAAGGAGAGAGAAAAUUUGAUUGUGUUUGUUGAGUUGGCGUGUGAUUAAUGGAUCCUUUUGAAUUUCUGACACUGUGUGUUAUUUAUAGCCUGCCACUUGUGUUCUUGGACCAAUGAGGACGGAACACCUGUAAUUGGACUUAUGGACAUUGCUGCAAAAAGGAAAAAUUAAAAGGACUAAUCUGCAAUUAUGAAAAAAAGACUUAAAAAUGCAAUUUGGAAAAGUAUUGGACUAAAAAUGCAAUUAAAAUAAAAUUGAAUUAAAAUUGGUAAAUCGAACAAAACGUAAAGUGAAACCAAAAAUAAAAUCAACAAAAGAACUAAAAUGAACCAGUUACAAAAAUGAGGUAUUUUAAAAUACCUCUCUGCCGAAAUUUUGACAGGAAAAGACCAAAAUGCCCCUAGGGACUAAACUGACUCAAACUGACUCAGAUGCAAUUUUUGAAAUGAUUUUUUUUUUAAACAAAGACUCAACAAUGAUUUGUACAGACAAAUUGAAAAGACUCAGAGGCAAACACAGGGACUAAAAUGGGUUCCACUGCAGGAAAUGACCAAAAUACCCUUUUGUAUGAUUUUUGAAAUAAAAUGCAAGAAAAUGUAAUACGAUGUUUCAGAGAGUUCUUCGAAUGAAUUUGUUAUGCAAGAAAAAAAACAGGCAGAGGCAGUAAGAUACGUUUAAAAGGAGAGUAAAGAUUCAGAGUAAAAUAACAGAGAAUUGACAAGUAUCAGUGUUAGAAAAGAAGUUUGAACGAGUAUUUUUAGGUCCAAAAUCAGGGUAUAACAACGGUCAACCAAGGUUCCGGAUAAAUGGCAUCUAGGAAAGGUGGAGCAAGCUCUUCCGGUGGACAACAACAAAAGAAGAAGACUCAAGCCAAGAAUCAUGGCAUAAUCUUCAAGGACACCAAGCAAAGGGACAGGUAUAAAAUUCUUAUCUCUAAACCUUUGCAUCCUUGUCGAUAUCCAGAUCCUUAUACUUUGAGUGUGCUAGGACUAAGGGAUAAUGUGUUCAGCUUACUAGGAAAUUUAGGAUGGGUUGAUAUGCUUAGACCUAUGAAGGGCUUCGAAAAUUUCACUUAUGAAUUCUUAAGUUCUAUUGAAUUUACGAAGGAUAAGGUGAAUUUUGACAACCCCGAUCAUAGAGUCUCUUUCCGACUUUUGAAUAUGGAUUACGAGAUGUCUCUUGAAAAUUUCUGCUUAGAGAUGGACUUUGCAAAUGCGGGGUUCAUCCAUGACUCUUGGAAUCCAAAUUUAAAGUCGGAAAACUAUGACCCCGCUCUCUUUUGGAAACGCAUUACCGGGUUAAGGCAUUAUAAUCCUCGCAACAAUAAGGCUAGUAACAUUCACAACCCAGUACUUAGAUACCUCCAGAGAGUCAUGGCUUGUACCAUUUGGGGUAGAAAAGAGGUAGGAACAACUAGGACGGAUGAACUUUUUAUGCUUUGGGCAAUGCUUAGUAACAAUCCCGUUAAUACUUGUUUCUACCUACUUGAUUACCUUUCCUCCAUAGGAGCUAGACUUGAUAAUAGAGCUGAGAUAGUAGUCGGUAGUAUCAUUACCUUCAUCGCUAGGAAGUUUGGAGUGGGUGAGGAAGAUGGGAUAAAUCCAAUUGAGGGCAACAAUAGGCUUAAUAUUGAAACCCUUGUUGCUAUGAACUUCAUUAAGAUUCACCCACCCAUGACUUAUGCACUUCAACUUCGCAUACCUCUUUUAUUUCUACUUCCUAACCCUUCUCGGACUAACCCCGAGGUGGAGGAAAAUUUGUUGUAUGUUGGUGAUGGAUUACAGGUACAUGAAGAGCAUAAUCAAGGUGACGAAGAAGGUGCACACAUGCACCAUGAAGAGGAGCCCCAUAACCAUAACGACAACAAUGAAAGAUGGGCAUGGAUGCAAACCGAGGUACAAAGGAUAAGCACCGAGCAACAAAGGCAAGGUGUCGAAUUAUCUGGGCUAAGAAAUGAUGUCCUACGAGGCAACCGCAUAUCCGAAGAAAAUAACCAAAUGCUUCGGAACAUGAUGCAACACUUCAACCUCCAAGGCCCUCCCUAUGGACCUCAAUAAAAAUGUGAGCUUUCCUCUUCCUCUUUUUCACCUUAUCUCUUCAAUCUCUAUCUCACUCUUCUUCCUCUCCUCCUCUUCUAUUUUUCUUUUAUCUUGAAUCAUUGAGGACAAUGCUUCUCCUAAGUGUGGGGGGAGCCUAAUAAAGUGUCUUUAGUCGUAGUGUUUCCAAACUCCCUUGAACUUUAUUCUUUUGUUUUGUUUUAUUGUAAAAGGCAUGGUUAAGUAGCUAAUUUUUAUUGAAAAUAUCAUGACACAAAAAUUUUCAUUGUCUCCUCUUAUUUUGUUGAUUCUUGUACAUGAAAGCAAACUCUUGUGUUUUAAGUCUUCUUGAUAUACCCACAUCUUGUUUUAAAGUGAAUAAAAUUCUCCAAUGAGAAAAACACAAAGUUGCUUCCCUUGAGUAAAUGUAUGAAUAGGUAUUUUAAGGAAACGCGUUUUAAUCUUAGUGGUGCAUUAACCUUUAAAGAUUCUCAAAGUGCCAGUAGUAUAAGUUAGUAUAAGGGAGCUCAUAAAAAGCCAAAAAGCCAAAUAAAUUCCAAGAUCUCAUCAUUGAAUCUAGAUUGGGGAAGGAGGUAGGCCCUCCGACUUCCUACGUGAAGAUGAUUGUUAUCUUAAGGAAAAACUUUAAAAAAGCAUCAUUGAAUCUAGAUUGGGGAAGGGGGUAGGCCCUCCGACUUCCUACGUGAAGAUGAUGUUUUAAGGGAUACCAUUGAAUCUAGAUUGGGGAAGGGGGUAGGCCCUCCGACCUCCUACGUGAAGAUGUUGUUCCUUAAAUAAAGAACUUAAAAUGUGCAAAUGGCAAAGAACAAAGAUCCUCAAAUACUCCCAUCUCUCUUAUAUGAAUUAUAGAAGGAAUCUUUCUUGGUUGGUUUAGUGCUAGGAUUAGACCAUGUUUCCUCAUAAUGCCUAUCUUAUACAGGAGCAAGAAAAGGGUUGGACUUCACACACACACUCACUUGAAACUUGAUCGUUGGGUUGAAUAAAAAUUACAAGAAAUGCUUGAGUUUGUGAUUAGUGUACAUUUGGGAUUUAAGCCCUUGAGGAGACAUGUGCUUUAAUUGAAAUUGUCAUUUGAUAUAACUGUUAGUGCUACUAUGUUUAUGCCUUUUGCUUGAGGACAAGCAAAGAUUCAAGUAUGGGGGAGUUUGAUGAGUCAUUUAUAUGCUAUUUUAAUAUGCUUUUUAGUUUAGUUUUAUUUAGAUUUUAUAUAAUUUUAUAUUAGUAUUAUUUCCUUUUUAGGAUAGUUUACUUUAAAUUGCAAUUUAUUAUAUUUCAGGGAAGAAUAUUGGAUGGAUUGAGUCUUGGAGCAAAAGAAAGGGAUUUGGAGCAGAUUGGACACGAAAAUACGAAGAUUGGGAAACAAAAUAUAUCUCCCACAAGUCAGAAGCCUGGCACGGCCCGUGCUAGCCUUGGCACGGCCGUGCCACCCUCCAGAGACCUUUUGCUGCUUUUGCUUGGACUCCAAGCUAUUCUAUUUUGGCGCACAAUCUACCGAGGAAUAUUCUUAGAAUAUACUUGCUUAGAUUUUAAGUCAAUUGUGUACUAUAAAUAGAGUAGCUAGCCAUCACAAAUAUUCAUCUUUACUUGGAAUACAAUAAGUGACAAUUGCUUUUCAAUAAAGUUCUUUUCCUUUCCUUUAUUUUCCUGUCUUUUACUUUCAUGCUUUCUCUCUUCUCCCCCAUGUCUACGAUGAACAUGAGUGAGUAGACUUCUUCUUGUCUUGGGAUUGUUGGAUAAGUCUAAAUGACAUAAUCCUAAUCAAACCAAGCCCUAAGCCUUAAUCUUAUGUAACCCUAGUUUCUUAUCUGAAUUCACCGUCUUAACAUGGAUUAACCAUUAUCAAACUGUGGAAACGAAAGUGGAGGGUUUGAUAAUUGUUCGUCCAUUAUUCCAAAUAUCAAUUCAUAAAACGAAAGUGGAGCUUUGAUAUUCGAACAAGUGAAUUCAGACAAGGAUUGCAAAGUCAGCGAAAUAGGCUUUGCAAUCUUUGAGACAUAUAGUUUCGAUCUUCAAGGGAACUAAUAACAAUCAAGUCAGCAAAAUAGGCUUGGUUGUUAGAGAAACCAAAAUCCAAUAGUAAUCAAGUCAGCGAAAUAGGCUUGGUUGCUAGAGGAACUUAAGAGAAACUGUCUUGAGAAAUUAGGUCUAACAUAACAUUAUAAGCUUAUGGUUUCGGUUUGAGAAGGACUUGUUAUUUAGAUGAAACCAACGAUCCCAAGGCUCUUUUAUUAUAUUGCUUUCAACCGUUUAAAAACCCCCAAUCUACAAUCUCUUCUCUCUUCUAAUCAUCUCUAAAGGUUAAUUAAAUUGAACUACUCCCUGUCGGAACGAUACUCUUUUAUACUACUUCGGUAAGACCGUGCACUUGCGGUUUUAUCUCAUCAAGGACAAAACUCCUAAUCGUGGUGAGGACAAAGCUCAAUGAAUGCUAAUGCAUGAACUCUAUCAACAAGACACCUUAAUCAACUUAUCACUUAUACAUCCAAUAAUUUGGAGUUCAUCAUCAACUUAUUCAUACUCAUGCAACUUAGUUAAAUAACAAUUGCAACAUAAUCAAAUCACAUCAAGCUUAAUAACAAUUCAUUUCAACAACAUCUUAAUCAUUCAAUACUAUUUCGAGCAAUGCAUUUAAUCAUUAAAUCAUAGUAUAUAAUAUUCUCUCAUUAAUCAUAUCAUCAAAGUAAAUCAUAUUCAUCACAACAACAAAUUAGCAUCAAUCAAUAAUGAUAAUCAUCAUAUAUAACAAUUACAAAUGCACGUCAUCAACAUCUCAAAUAUCAAACAUAAUUCAUGCAAUAUAUAUCUAAUUAUAUAACAUUAUAAAUAUCAUCAAAUCAUCUUAAUCAUUAUCUAAGGUAUAAGGACAGUUUCUACAUCUUUUUAACAAGUUUCCACCGUUUAUUCAUUAAUUCUACAAUUUUAACCUACUUUUCAAUUCCUCAAAAACUCAUCCUACAUCAUGUUAAACCUAACCAUUGAUUCACAUACUUAAUAGAAUUGCAAAGUUAGUCUCACCAUUACCUUUGGAUUGAUCGAUGAAGGACUCUACCGCUUUCUCUUCUCUAAAAGGAUAUUAAACCGAAGAGGGAUUAUGGUCUUAAGAACACUUUUAAUUCCGACGGGACAGAAAGGAGUAGAAAAAGAAGAAAGACUCGUCAACACAAGUCAAAAGAGGGAGAAGAGAAGAAAAGCACAGGAAGCAUCAACUGUGAAUUUCGGUGUGUAUAAUGCACUGUGUGAGUUCUCUAUUUAUAGAGAUAGUUUACAACUAAUAAGUGAGAAACUUUGGAAACAAGUAAUGCACCUAUUAGAUCUAGUAAUUAAAUAUAUCAAUUGAGUACCAAAAUAUAUUAUAUUAGGUACAAAAAUAUAUUAUUCAGUACAAAAUAUAUUAGAUUGCCUACCAAAAUCUCAAUAUUCUAUUCUAAUAUAUAUAUAUAUAUAUAUAUAUAUAUAUAUAUAUAUAUAAUAUUUAUACAACAAAUAACAAUUAUAUCUCUAUAACAAAUAUAUUUCUAUAACAUAUAUAUAUUUCUACACCAAAUAAGAAAUAUAUUUCUACACCAGAUAACAUAUAUUUCUACACAAAAUAACAUAUAUAUCUACACAAAUCACAUUUAUUUCUGCAACAAAUCAUAUGUAUUUCUAUAACAAAUAACAUUUAUAUUUCUAAACCAAAUAACAUAUAUAUAUAUAUAUAUAUUUCUAAAUCAAAUAACAUUUAUAUUUCUAAUUCAAAUAACAUAUAUAUUUCUAAAUCAAAUAACAUAUAUAUAUUUCUAAAUCAAAUAACAUUUAUAUUUCUAAAUCAAAUAACAUAUAUAUAUUUCUAAAUCAAAUAGCAUAUAUAUUAGACUAAUAAAUACCAACAUAUAUCAUAACAAAAUAUCACUCAUCAAAAUAAAUCAUAUAAAUCAUACAAAUCAUAUAAGUAUAUUCUAAACUCAUUAAAAAUAAUCAAAUAAUUAGAGAGAGCGUUACAACUCUCCCCCCCUUUAAAGAAUUUUGUCCUCGAAAUUCAAAGCACAAAAGUAAUGAAUUCAAUUAUUGUUUAAAUAUCUUAAACUAUAUUUAGCCAAAUAGAAACUUCAACAAAACAUGUAAACCACAUCAAAGUUAGUCAAUCGAACAUGAUCACAUACUAAACAUAACUAUUAAUCAGAAACACAACAACAAUCAAUCAAACAACAUAAAGACAGUAAUACAACUGUUACUAAACUCGACACGACUCAACUACUUGGACGGACCGACCUGCUCUGAUACCAAUUGUAACACCCCGUUUUCCCAACAUAAAAAUUCCAUUUAAUAAUCAAAGUUAUUCACGUAAACGGAAUGCUACACUUCUUUUCUUAAAAUCAUAAACUGAAUAAAUAACUAUUUAUCCUUUAAAAUUAAAUAACAAAAUCUUUAAUACUUCGCAGCGGAAUUUAUUCAAUAACUAAAACAGUCUUUGGUACGAAGGCCUCUUCAUAAAUUUCUCAUAUAAUCAAAUCUAAAACCAUAGUCAAAAUUCUUCUUAAAACAAUACGUAAGGAAUAGAAAGACAACAAUAAAAUUUUCAUCCUGUUACGUAUCAGAGCACCUAAAGACACACAUGAGAGCUAAUCCACACACAACAGCAAUCUAACAACAACUUAAACUCGAUCACCUGCAAGUUACUCAUAUGAAGAGCAACAUUUUCAAGCAGAAGGGGUGAGAUUUCACAAAACAAUAAUAUCCUAUAAUUCAAUAAUUAUAUUUAACAACACAAAUAACUUCAUCUAUUAGUAAUAAUAAUUCUUCAUGUAUAAUUCUUAAUAGUCCAACCAACUUCUAAUUAUCAUUUACUUCAUAUUCAUCACAUUAUAACAUCAUCAUAUAACACGUAUUACCCAAACCAUAACAACAUAGAUCAUCACAUCUUACUCAUAGUUCAUAUUCAACAUAACAACAUCUUAAUCUUAAUUCAUAUACGACAUAACAACAUCUUAACUCGUAAUAACAUUUCUCCACCAAGCAUCUCAUGAAUAGAAGACAACUUAUCAACUUAACAUAACCAUCAUCAAGUACAUUUAACAACUCCUAGAUAACAUCAUGUAAUCAUCAUCACUAAUAACUUAAACUACACAAUAUAAUCAUCACUUAAUAAUAAUAAUAAUUAUAUACAUCAUAACAUAAACAUCAUUUUAUAAUAAUAUAACAACAACAACAUAUUCAUCACUUAAUAAUAACAAUUAUAUACAUCACAACAUAAGCAUCAUCUUACAACAACAUAACAUAACAUUCACUUAAUAAUAAUUAAUCAUAUAUAGUACAACAUAUUCAUCACUUAAUAAUAACAAUUAUAUACAUCACAACAUAAGCAUCAUCUUACAACAACAUAACAUAAUAUUCACUUAAUAAUAAUUAAUCAUAUAUAGUACAACAUAUUCAUCACUUAAUAGUAACAAUUAUAUACAACAUCAUAACAACAUAGCAAUAUCAUAAUCAAUAUCUUAAACAACAUAGCAACAUAACAAUAUCAUAAUCAAUAUCUUAAACAACAUCAUAACAUUAUAAUCAGUAUCAUAUAAUUCACAUCAUAAACAUCGUAUAAUCUUUAUAAGUACUUCUUUAACAACACAUGGGUAGAAGACAACUCGACAACUCAAAGAUGAUAAUUUAUCAACAACUUAACAACUCAUGGAUGAUAAUUCAUCAACAACGACUUUGACUCGACAAAUGCGACAAUGCAACUUAGACACUUAUAUGCAUGUGGUACCAAUCGUCAUCAUAAGUAUUAAUAUACUUUCAUUGUGCGGAGGACAAAGUUCCUAAACGUGCGGAUGGCAAAGCUCCUAAUCGUGGUGAGGACAAAGCUCAAUGAAUGCUAAUGCAUGGACUCUAUCAACAAGACACCUUAAUCAACUUAUCACUUAUACAUCCAAUAAUUUGAAGUUCAUCAUCAACUUAUUCAUACUCAUGCAACUUAGUUAAAUAACAAUUGCAGCAUAAUCAAAUCACAUCAAGCUUAAUAACAAUUCAUUUCAACAACAUCUUGAUCAUUCGAUACUAUUUCGAACAAUGCAUUUAAUCAUUAAAUCACAGUAUAUAAUAUUCUCUCAUUAAUCAUAUCAUCAAAGUAAAUCAUAUUCAUCACAGCAACAAAUUAGCAUCAAUCAAUAAUGAUAAUCAUCAUAUAUAACAAUUACAAAUGCACGUCAUCAACAUCUCAAUCAUCAAACAUAAUUCAUGCAAUAUAUAUCUAAUUAUAUAACAUUAUAAAUAUCAUCAAAUCAUCUUAAUCAUUAUCUAAGGUAUAAGGACAGUUUCUACAUCUUUUUAACAAGUUUCCACCGUUUAUUCAUCAAUUCUACAAUUUUAACCUACUUUUCAAUUCCUCAAAAACUCAUCCUACAUCAUGUUAAACCUAACCAUUGAUUCACAUACUUAAUAGAAUUGCAAAGUUAGUCUCACCCUUACCUUUGGAUUGAUCGACGAAGGAAUCUACCGCUUUCUCUUCUCUAAAAGGAUAUUAAACCGAAGAGGGAUUAUGGUCUUAAGAACACUUUUAAUUCCGAAGGGACAGAAAGGAGUAGAAAAAGAAGAAAGACUCGUCAACACAAGUCAAAAGAGGGAGAAGAGAAGAAAAGCACAGGAAGCAUCAACUGUGAAUUUCGGUGUGUAUAAUGCACUGUGUGAGUUCUCUAUUUAUAGAGAUAGUUUACAACUAAUAAGUGAGAAACUUUGGAAACAAGUAAUGCACCUAUUAGAUCUAGUAAUUAAAUAUAUCAAUUGAGUACCAAAAUAUAUUAUAUUAGGUACAAAAAUAUAUUAUUCAGUACAAAAUAUAUUAGAUUGCCUACCAAAAUCUCAAUAUUCUAUUCUAAUAUAUAUAUAUAUAUAUAUAUAUAUAUAUAUAUAUAUAUAUAUAUAAUAUUUAUACAACAAAUAACAAUUAUAUCUCUAUAACAAAUAUAUUUCUAUAACAUAUAUAUAUUUCUACACCAAAUAAGAAAUAUAUUUCUACACCAGAUAACAUAUAUUUCUACACAAAAUAACAUAUAUAUCUACACAAAUUAACAUAUAUUUCUACAACAAAUCAUGUGUAUUUCUACAACAAAUUAUAUAUACUUCUACAACAAAUAACAUUUAUUUCUAUAACAAAUCACAUUUAUUACUGCAACAAAUCAUAUGUAUUUCUAUAACAAAUAACAUUUAUAUUUCUAAACCAAAUAACAUAUAUAUAUAUAUUUCUAAAUCAAAUAACAUAUAUAUUUCUAAAUCAAAUAACAUUCAUAUUUCUAAACCAAAUAACAUAUAUAUUUCUAAAUCAAAUAACAUAUAUAUAUAUAUAUAUAUAUAUAUAUAUAUAUAUAUAUAUAUAUAUUUCUAAAUCAAAUAACAUUUAUAUUUCUAAAUCGAAUAAUAUAUAUAUAUUUCUAAAUCAAAUAGCAUAUAUAUUAUACUAAUAAAUAGCAACAUAUAUGAUAACAAAAUAUCACUCAUCAAAAUAAAUCAUAUAAAUCAUACAAAUCAUAUAAGUAUAUUCUAAACUCAUUAAAAAUAAUCAAAUAAUUAGAGAGGGCGUUACAUUUAGCAUGAAUUAGGAUGAAUUUAAGAGGAAUCGAAAAUUAGGUCAAAUUGAGUGAAUUCAUGAUUAAACGGUGAAAAGUUGUUAAAUUGAUGUAGAAAUUGUUCUUAGACCUUAGAUAAUGUGUAGGAUGAAUUCUGGAAUCAAUGCUAGGCUAUAAACCAUGAGAAAAGAUGAAUUUUCGUAAAAACUACACUUCUGCCCGAGCCUAUAUUCAUCGCUCGCCAUCGCGAACAAUGAUCCUCGCCUCGCGAGUGAUGAAGUUCAUCGCUCGCCAAGCGAACCAAUUUCCCUCGCCUCGCGAGUUGCACGUCGCAGCUCGCCACAGCGAACAACUGAACUCGCCAUAGCGAGCAUGACCAGAGAGCAUGCAAGAUUUCGUAUUUUUGACUUUUGAGUUGAACCUUAGAUGCUUUUGAGUGCCUGAAGAUGCUUAAUAAAGAUUAUAUGAUAACUUAGAAUGAGAUUGAACCUGGUUUAACUUAGAACAACCAUUGUUGGGAAUCUGGCUUGUACUCGCCAAGGUGAGCAGAUGCUCUCGCUUCGCGAGCACUUCCAGAACUGAGUGCAAGUGAGGAAAAUGCGAUCUGUGUCGCAUGAUUUGAUUAGAGAUGGACCCUUGGGUAGUAAUGAGACCAAUAUAUGAAGUUAAUUGUAAUAUGUGAAGCUGAAUAAGAUAUGUUGUUGUUGAUUAUGAAGUGUUAUAAUGUUUAUGCAUUACUUGAAGAAUGUUUGUAUACAUAAGAUGUUGAUGAAUUGAAUUUGAUAUAAUUAUGUCAUGCUGUUGUAUACUACCUAUGUUGUUGUUUGUUAUUUAACUAAGCUGCAUGAGUCGGUCUAAGAUGUUGAAGAUGAUGAUGUUCCAAAUUAUUGGACUAUAUUAAGAGGUUGUCGAAUUAAGUUGUUUAAGAGGUCGAGUCCAUGCAUUAGCAUUCAUAGUUGGGGGCUUGAUGCCCUGGAGCUUUGUACUCACCACGUUGGAGCAUUAGCUCAAAUUUAGCGAUGGCGGCUUGAUGCCCUAGAAGUAUAUUAAUACUCAAAUAGCGAUGGGGGCUUGAUGCCCUGUAUUGGUACCACAUGCAUAUAAGAGGUCUAAGUUGCAUAGUCGCAUUUGUCGAGGCGAUGAUGAUUAAAUGAUUAAGUUGAAAUUAUUUUGAAGUGAAUUAUGAUAUAGUAUUAUCAAUGUUGAUUAAUAAGAUGUUUUAUGUUGUUAAAUAUAAUUGUUGAAUUAUAUGCUUAAUAUUAUUGUUUUGUGAAAUCUCACCCCUUCUGCUUGGAAAUGUUGCUCUUCGUAUGAGUAACUUGCAGGUAAUCAAGAGUAGGUUGCUGUUUGUGAUGUCGUGAGUGGCCUUGCCUCACUCAGUCUUAGGUUGCUCUGAUACGUAACAGGAGGGGAUCUUUAGUGGCUAUUUCUCUUUCCUUUACGUAUAUGAUAUGUUUUGAUGUUACUUAACUGAAUUUAUGAUGCGAUUUGAUGAGGCCUGCGUGCCAAGACAAUAUAUGAUUUUUGAAUUAAAUUCCGCUGCUUUUACGUUUAAGUUUACUUUGAAAGAUAAAUUAUGAUUUAUCUAUGUUUUUAAGAAUUUUAAGAAGUGUGAUAUCCCGUUUAUGUGAUGUUUUACUCUGAUUAUAUGUUUGAAAUUUUUAAGUUGGGAAAACGGGGUGUUACAAUUGGUAUCAGAGCAGGUCGGUCCGUCUGGCCAAUUAGAAGAGUCGUGUCGAGUUUUAGUAAUAGUUAAGUUACUAUCUUAUGUUAUUGUUGCUUAAUGUGUAGAAACUAAGAGAUGGAUGGGAGAAACGAUGAUGCGUUAGCUGCUGCACUACAAGCCGUAGCUCAAGCUGUGGGACAACAGCCUAAUGCAAAUGAUGGUGCGAAUGCUGAGUCGAGGAUGCUUGAGACCUUCCUGAGGAAUCACCCUCUUACUUUCAAGGGAAGAUACGACCCCGAUGGAGCCCAGACGUGGCUUAAAGAGAUUGAGAGAGUUUUCCACGUUUUGGUACACAACAGUUGGCCGAGGAAGCUGAUGAUUGGUGGGUUAGUCUUCUACCUACCCUAGAGCAAGACGGUGCUGUUGUGACAUGGGCUGUGUUUAGGAGGGAUUUCCUAAACAGAUACUUUCCGGAAGAUGUUCGCGGGAAGAAAGAGAUCGAAUUCCUUGAGCUGAAGCAAGGAAACAUGUCGGUGACUGAGUAUGCUGCCAUAUUUGUGGAAUUGGCAAAGUUCUAUCCGCACUACACUCCAGAGACUUUUGAGUUUUCAAAGUGUAUCAAGUUUGAGAACGGGUUACGUGCUGAGAUUAAGAGAUCAAUUGGUUACCAGAAGAUUCGAGUUUUCGCUGAGCUGUUGAGCAGUUGCAGGAUUUACGAGGAGGAUACUAAGGCUCAUUACAAGAUCGUGAAUGAGAGGAAGACUAAGGGCCAGCAGAGUCGCCCUAAGCCUUAUAGUGCCCUUGUUGAUAAGGGCAAAUAGAGAAUGGUCGAAGAUAGACGGCCGAGGAAGAAGGAUGCUCCUGCUGAGAUUGUUUGUUUUUCUUGUGGUGAGAAAGGCCACAAGAGUAAUGCUUGUCCUGGGGACGUCAAGAGAUGUUUUCGCUGUGGAAAGAAGGGUCAUGCACUAGCUGAGUGCAAACAUGAUGAUAUAGUAUGCUUCAAUUGUAAUGAAGAGGGUCACAUUGGUUCAUAGUGCAAGAAGCCUAAGAAGGCGCCGACUACUGGUAGGGUCUUUGCUUUGACUGGUACACAGACAGAGAACGAGGAUCGUUUGAUCAGAGGUACUUGCUAUAUUGAUAAUACACCUUUAGUUGCUAUUAUUGAUACUGGUGCUACGCAUUGUUUUAUUUCUUAUGAUUGUGCUACUAAGUUGGGUCUUGUCAUGUCUGAUAUGAAUGGAGAAAUGGUUGUUGAAACUCCAGCUAAGGGUUCGGUGACCACUUCUCUUGUGUGUUUAAGAUGUCCUUUGUCUAUGUUUGAUCGUGAUUUUGAGAUGGAUUUAGUUUUUCUACCUUUGAGUGGUAUGGAUGUGAUUCUGGGUAUGAACUGGUUGGAAUACAACCAUGUUCACAUUAAUUAUUAUAGUAAGUCGGUGUAUUACUCUUCUGCUGAGGAGGAAAGUGGUGCAGAGUUUUUGUCUACUAAGCAGCUGAAGCAGUUAGAACGUGAUGGUAUCUUGAUGUUUUCUUUGAUGGCUUCCUUAUCUAUUGAGAAUCAAGCAGUGAUUGAUAAGCUACAAGUGGUGUGCGAUUUUCCAGAAGUUUUUCCUGAUGAAAUUCCUGAUGUGCCUCCAGAGAGGGAAGUUGAGUUUUUGAUUGAUCUUGUUCCUGGAAUGAAGCCUGUGUCUAUGACACCUUAUCGUAUGUCAACUUAUAAGUUGGCCGAGUUGAAGAAACAAUUAGAGGACUUGCUUGAGAAAAAGUUUGUUAGACCCAGUGUUUCACCUUGGGGAGUGCCGGUUUUGCUAGUGAAGAAGAAAGAAGGUAGCAUGAGAUUGUGUAUUGACUAUCGACAGUUGAACAAGGUGACAAUAAAGAAUAGGUAUCCACUUCCGAGGAUUGAUGAUUUGAUGGAUCAGUUAGUGGGUGCAAAAGUUUUCAGCAAGAUAGAUUUGAGAUCAGGUUAUCACCAGAUUAAAGUAAAAGAUGAAGAUAUGCAGAAGACAACUUUCAGAGCGCGGUAUGGUCACUAUGAGUACAAAGUUAUGCCUUUCGGUGUUACGAAUGCACCUGGAGUAUUUAUGGAUUACAUGAAUCGCAUCUUUCAUGCAUUUUUGGAUUGGUUCGUGGUUGUUUUUAUCGAUGAUAUAUUGAUUUACUCCAAGUCUGAAGAAGAACAUGUUGAGCAUUUGAAGCUGGUUUUGCAAGUGUUGAAAGAGAAGAAGCUUUAUGCAAAAUUGUCUAAGUGCGAAUUCUGGUUGAAAGAAGUGAGCUUUCUUGGACAUGUUAUUUCUGGUAGCUAGUGGUAUUGCAGUGGAUCCGUCAAAAGUUGAAGCGGUAUCGCAAUGGGAGACUCCUAAGUCAGUUACUGAGAUAAGAAGCUUUUUGGGAUUGGCUGGUUACUAUAGAAGAUUUAUAGAAGGAUUUUCCAAGUUAGCACUUCCGCUAACGCAGUUGACUUGUAAAGGUAAAGCCUUUGUGUGGGAUGUUCAAUGCGAGAACAGUUUCAGUGAAUUGAAGAAGCGGUUGACGACAGCUCCGGUUUUGAUUUUGCCAAAGUUAGAUGAACCUUUUGUGGUAUAUUGUGAUGCGUCCAAGCUGGGUUUAGGUGGUGUGCUUAUGCAAGAUGGUAAAGUAGUAGCUUAUGCUUCGAGACAGUUGAGAAUUUAUGAGAAGAAUUAUCCCACACACGAUUUAGAGUUGGCGGCUGUGGUCUUUGUAUUAAAGAUAUGGAGACAUUACUUGUAUGGUUCGAGAUUUGAGGUGUUUAGUGAUCAUAAGAGUUUGAAGUAUCUGUUCGAUCAGAAGGAAUUGAAUAUGAGGCAGCGUAGAUGGCUAGAAUUGCUGAAAGAUUCUGAUUUUGAGUUGAGCUAUCAUCCGGGUAAAGCUAAUGUUGUUGCAGAUGCUUUGAGUAUGAAGACCUUGCAUAUGUCUGCUAUGAUGGUAAAGGAGUUCGAGUUGCUUGAACAGUUCAGAGAUUUGAGCUUAGUGUGUGAAAUGUCAUCUGAAAGUGUGAAGCUAGGAAUGCUGAAGAUUGAUAAUGAGUUUCUGAAAAGUAUUAAAGAGGCACAGAAAGCUGAUGUAAAGUUUGUGGACUUGUUGGUUGCUAGAGAUCAGACUGAAGACAAUGAUUUUAAAAUCGAUGAUCAAGGUGUGCUGAGGUUUCGAGGUCGGAUUUGUAUUCCUGACGAUGAUGAGAUGAAGGAAAUGAUUCUUGAAGAGAGCCAUAGAAGUAACUUGAGUAUUCAUCCAGGAGCUACGAAGAUGUGUCAUGAUCUAAAGAAGUUAUUUUGGUGGUCCGGAUUGAAACGCGACGUUGCACAGUUUGUGUAUGCUUGUUUGAUUUGCCAGAAGUCGAAGGUUGAGCAUCAGAAACCUGCUGGUAUGAUGGUAUGGUUAGAUGUGCCAUAGUGGAAAUGGGAUAGUAUAUCCAUGGAUUUUGUGACGAGUUUGCCUAAUACUCCUAAAGGGAAUGACGCGAUUUGGGUGAUUGUUGAUAGAUUGACGAAGUCGGCUCAUUUUCUUCCGAUUAAUAUUAAUUUUCCUGUUUCUCAACUGGCAGAGAUUUAUAUUCGAAAUAUUGUGAAGUUGCAUGGUGUUCCUUCGAGCAUUGUGUCAGAUAGAGAUCCAAGAUUUACUUCCAGAUUUUGGAAAAGUUUGCAAGAGGCUUUAGGUUUUAAGUUGAGGUUGAGUUCGGCGUAUCAUCCGCAAACAGAUGGUCAGUCGGAGAGGACGAUUCAAUCAUUAGAAGAUUUGUUGAGGGUUUGUGUUCUUGAGCAAGGAGGAACUUGGGAUAGUCAUCUCCCAUUGAUAGAGUUCACGUAUAAUAAUAGUUAUCAUUCUAGUAUUGGAAUGGCACCUUAUGAGGCUUGUAUGGGUCGGAGAUGCAGAACUCCGUUGUGUUGGUUUAAAUCAGGUGAAAGAGUGGUCUUAGGACCAGAGAUUGUUUAGCAAACUACCGAGAAGGUUAAGAUGAUUCAAGAGAAGAUGAAAGCGUUGCAGAGUCGACAAAAGAGUUAUCAUGAUAAGCGCAUGAAAGAUCUUGAGUUCCAAGAAGGAGACCACGUGUUUUUGAGAGUCACUCCUGUGACUGGUGUUGGACGUUCUUUGAAGUCAAAGAAGUUGACUCCGAGAUUUAUUGGUCCGUAUCAGAUAUCGGAAAGAGUCGUAACGGUGGCGUACCGAGUGGGAUUACCACCGCAUCUUUUGAAUUUGCACGAUGUGUUUCCUGUGUCGCAACUUCAGAAGUAUGUACCGGAUCCAUCCCAUGUGAUCCAAAGUGAUGAUGUGCAAGUUAGAGAUAACCUUACGAUUGAGACUUUACCGGUAAGGAUUGAUGAUCGCAAAGUGAAGACGUUGAGAGGCAAAGAGAUACCUCUUCUGAGAGUCGUUUGGGACGGAGCGACUGGUGAAAGCUUGACGUGGGAGCUAGAGAGUAAGAUGCUGGAGUCUUAUCCAGAGUUGUUUGCUUUAGGUAAAUUUUCGAGGACAAAAAUCUUAUAAGUUGGGGAGAGUUGUAACGCCCGUUUCGAAUUAAUUAAUUAUUUAAUUAUUUAAUUGAGUCUGGAGUUAUUUUAGAUGGGUUUAUAUUAUAUUUAUAUAAUAUAUAUGUGAUUUAUGCGAUUUUUAUGAUUGAGGUGGUUUAUAUGAUUUUUAUGAGGAGUUGUGACUUAUUUUAUUGUUUAAUAAAAUAAAAUUUGAAAAUAAAAUAAAUAUUGAGUUUAGGGGUUGUUUUGAUAUUUUAGAGAGUUUUGGGGGAGAAAGAGAGAUAAGAUAAGAUAAUAAGAGGAGUUAUAAAAGGGAAACCUAGUUUUAGAAAAAACUGUACGUACGAUCAGUUUUAGGAGAAAAAGGGAGAAAAAGCCAAGAGAAGAGGGAGAAGACCUAGGGCUGCGAUUUUCAUCAAACAAGGUAAGGGUGAGACUAACUUUACAAUUCUAUUAAGUCUAUGAAUCAAUGGUUGUAUUUAGCAUGAAUUAGGAUGAAUUUAAGAGGAAUCGAAAAUUAGGUCAAAUUGAGUGAAUUCAUGAUUAAACGGUG
rnacentral:lncRNA from 1 species